rnacentral:rRNA from 1 species
CUCAUUAAAUCAGUUAUCGUUUAUUUGAUAGUACCUUACUACAUGGAUAACCGUGGUAAUUCUAGAGCUAAUACAUGCUAAAAAUCCCGACUUCGGAAGGGAUGUAUUUAUUAGAUUAAAAACCAAUGCCCUUCGGGGCUCUCUGGUGAUUCAUAAUAACUUCUCGAAUCGCACGGCCUUGCGCCGGCGAUGGUUCAUUCAAAUUUCUGCCCUAUCAACUUUCGACGGCUGGGUCUUGGCCAGCCAUGGUGACAACGGGUAACGGAGGGUUAGGGCUCGACCCCGGAGAAGGAGCCUGAGAAACGGCUACUACAUCCAAGGAAGGCAGCAGGCGCGCAAAUUACCCAAUCCCGACUCGGGGAGGUAGUGACAAUAAAUACUGAUACAGGGCUCUUUUGGGUCUUGUAAUUGGAAUGAGUACAAUUUAAAUCCCUUAAC